ensembl:snRNA U6 U6 spliceosomal RNA
UUGCUCACUUCAGCAAUACAUAUACUAAAAUUGGAAUGAUACAGAGAAGGUUAGCAUGGCCUCUGUGCAAGGAUGACACAAAUUCAUGAGACAUUCCAUUUUAAA